GCACAGAGUUAGCCGGUGCUUGCUAAAAGGGGUACCGUCAUCAACAUGGAUAUUAGCCAUGCCUUAUUCGUCCCCCUCCACAGGGCUUUACAACCCGAAAGGCCUUCAUCACCCACGCGGCAUGGCUGGGUCAGGCUUGCGCCCAUUGAGCAAUAUUCCUCA
rnacentral:rRNA from 1 species